GACGAACGCUGGCGGCGUGCUUAACACAUGCAAGUUGAACGGAAAGGCCCUGCUUUUGUGGGGUGCUCGAGUGGCGAACGGGUGAGUAACACGUGAGUAACUUGCCCUUGACUUUGGGAUAACUUCAGGAAACUGGGGCUAAUACCGGAUAGGAGCUCCUGCUGCAUGGUGGGGGUUGGAAAGUUUCGGCGGUUGGGGAUGGACUCGCGGCUUAUCAGCUUGUUGGUGGGGUAGUGGCUUACCAAGGCUUUGACGGGUAGCCGGCCUGAGAGGGUGACCGGCCACAUUGGGACUGAGAUACGGCCCAGACUCCUACGGGAGGCAGCAGUGGGGAAUAUUGCACAAUGGGCGGAAGCCUGAUGCAGCAACGCCGCGUGCGGGAUGACGGCCUUCGGGUUGUAAACCGCUUUCGCCUGUGACGAAGCGUGAGUGACGGUAAUGGGUAAAGAAGCACCGGCUAACUACGUG
rnacentral:rRNA from 1 species